rnacentral:rRNA from 1 species
UACGUAGGGUGCAAGCGUUAAUCGGAAUUACUGGGCGUAAAGCGUGCGCAGGCGGUGAUGUAAGACAGAUGUGAAAUCCCCGGGCUCAACCUGGGAACUGCAUUUGUGACUGCAUCGCUGGAGUACGGCAGAGGGGGAUGGAAUUCCGCGUGUAGCAGUGAAAUGCGUAGAUAUGCGGAGGAACACCGAUGGCGAAGGCAAUCCCCUGGGCCUGUACUGACGCUCAUGCACGAAAGCGUGGGAGCAACAGG